rnacentral:tmRNA from 1 species
GGGGAUGUAACGGUCUCGACGGGGUGAGGCGAUCACGAAGAUGCGUGUCGAGCUACGCUGGUGGAGCUCGUUAAUACAACCGGCGAAACACAAAUGCAGAUAACUUCGGUUAUCGCAUGGCUGCUUAAUUAAGUAGUUAUGCCAUCGGACGGAUGGUUGCUUGUUGCCUUCCUCUCCGGUGACGCUUCAAACAAGCUGGCGUGCAGCUGAGUAGCAGGGCAUAGCGCGAGAAAACACUGAGACUGGCUGAGAGGGACCUAUCGGUCGGUUACCCAUUCGGCGAGAAAACGUAGACCGAAGACACACGUGGUAAGCUUCGGAGAGUCCACUUCGGACCCGGGUUCGACUCCCGGCAUCUCCACUU